GUAGGAACUUCGCGUUCCCACCCUCCAGGGGAGGAGAUUGGAUCAGGCGCCAGCCUUGAGGUGUCUGAUUGGAGAAAAGCUGUGCAGUGCCGCUCCCCCGACCGACUCCUUGAGAAGAAACGGCGGAGACCUGAGACCCGGAGGCUGAGGCUGUAGGUGGGCUCCGCUGGGUAAAAGUUGCCGCAGCAGCUGUCCCUUGGCCCCAUCGCGAUUUAUUUUUCCCCCUUGCUUUCCGGGUCCCGGGAUCCCAAGUUUGUAACUAACGGGAGCGAAUCCACACCCGAGCAAAAUGUUUGCGAGUUUCAGGCGCCCUUAGUUGAAAGGCUGUAAUUAACAAGUCCGCUGUUUGCCAGCCAGGCGCCGUUGCAGGCGCUUUCUGUGGAUUGUCAUUUAUUUCUCACAGCAACCCUAGGAGAUGAAAUUGAAUCAUGGAAGAAUGCCUUUAUCUGAGGAGUCAUCACCACUAGGGAGCUAUGGAGGCUGUUAUCCUUGACAUCUGCAGCAGCCCUUCCAAGCUGUGGAGACCAGGUCAUCUGGAAUGCCCAUUUAUGUCAAUGGAAGAAAGAAAAAGGGGUCUCCUCCCAUCCUCACCACUGCAUUCUCCCACCAACCCUGCUCCUGUCCCACUUCCCACAACUCAGUUGUUGACAAUUUAACAGUGGGUUUCUGGAAACAGUGCUGCCUCCUUGAUGGUCUAACUAACUACCAGAGUUAUUCUAACAGCAGGAAUUUCAAGCCAGCAAACCAGACAUACAUAGGAGGCACAGCAAAAGACCCAAGGUGAGGGGCUUCCCUCACCUUCACCCUUGUUCUCACGUGGAGGUGGCGCAUGUCUAUGAGACACAGUACCCCACUCAGCGAUCCUCUGCAGUCCAGGAAAUUCUAGCACUUGCUUGGAAAACAAAUCAAGUGCCUGUUGGCUUUUUGUGAGCUGCCUAUGGAGAAAUGCACAUGGCAAGGAACUGAGGGUUGCCUCCAGCAAACUGCUGGUGAGGGAGUGAGGCCUUCAGUCCAACAGCCUUUAAGGAACUGAAUCCUGCCAACAACCAUGUGAGUGGGCUUGGAGAUGGAUGCUACCACCAUCAAGCCUUCAGGAGUGAAUUUUUUUGUUCUUGAGACAGCGUCUCAUUCUGUUGCCCAGGAUGGAGUACAGUGGUGCCAUCUUCGCUCACUGCAGCCUUCGUCUCCCGGGUUCAAGCAAUUCUCCUGUCUCAGCCUCCCAAGUAGCUGGGAUUACAGACCCAUCAAGCCUUCAGAUAAGACUGCAGCCUCAUUACAGACCUUGAACUGGAGGCAGCCAGCUGAGUCACACCUGGAUUCCUGACCCUUAGAAACUAUGAGAUAAUAAAUGUUUACAGUUUUAAGCCACUAAGUUUCG
rnacentral:lncRNA from 1 species